GGUCCGGUGGCGUAAUGGUAGCGCGUCUGACUACGAUUCAUGUGAUCAACGUAUCAGGAGGCUGCAGGUUCGAGACCUGCCCGGAUCG
rnacentral:tRNA from 1 species